CGGCUGCGGCCGCUCUCAGGAGGGCCCGCCCGCUCUCCGUGCGGACGGGCAGUGGGCUUGGCUUUGGGGGUAGAACCUACGUUGCUUUCCCUUCACAUUGUGCCCUCUCGGAGCUUGACAGUGCUCCGGGGAGUCAACACAGGGGGAUAGAGCAGUUCACCCUCACUAAAACCCAGUGUGGAGUCCUCCCCUCCGCCCUGCAUCCUGUCGUGAGGCACAAAUGGUCCGUCCCUCUAUUCCCCCCGCACGGUCCCCUGGCUGCCUCUGAUGUUUCUCUCCCUCCGCAGUGCGUCCCGAGGGAUCGGCAAGCCCUCCAAAUGCUCCCGAUGGGCCCGAUGCCAAGCGCGGCAGGCCUGGGCAGGGGGAAGCGCUGGCGAUCUGCGCUCACGCCUCCAGACGCCUGUGGGUGAGCGGCACCCCGAGCUCAUCACUCGUCUUACAGCCUGGGGCUGAGGCCUCACAUAGCAGCCUCGUGCUUGAAAUGUUUUAGACACGGGUAAUCACACCUAAAUGUGAAGCAAUGCUGAAGACUUCUUAGAAAUAAAUAAUGCCUUCUACUGGAAGGGAUGAAAACAACACCAGGAGCUGGCAUUGAACAUCAGUAUGACUUCCUGAGUGGUUGGUUUCUGACUUAAUACAAGAAGAUUCCAGUUGUCACCUCUAAGAUUGUCUUGGAAUAGAAUUGAGACAAACACUAGCUAAAAUUAUGUCUUGGAUGAUCAUGUUGAAACAGGCAUCUCACCAUUUGCUGAAACAGGUUUCCUAACAAAAACUGCUGUAAUUUUUUUGUGGAUUAAUUGAAAUACACUAAGUAUUAAUUGAAAUAAAAUAUGAGCAAAAGUU